rnacentral:rRNA from 1 species
UGAAUACGAGAUGCUACGGCAUUGAAGCAGUGUAUGUCAGACUUCCAAGAAAAGCUCGCAAUGUCAUAAACAAUAAAUGCCUGUACCAUAACCGACACAGGUGGGUAGGUAGAGUAUACUAAGGGGCGCGAGAUAACUCUCUCUAAGGAACUCGGCAAAAUGACUCCGUAACUUCGGGAGAAGGAGUGCCUUAUUUUAUAAGGUUGCAAUAACAAGAUCCAAGCAACUGUUUACCAAAAACACAGGUCUCCGCUAGGUCGAAAGACGAUGUAUGGGGGCUGACGCCUGCCCAGUGCCAGAAGGUUAAAGAAGUUGGUUAGCUUCGGCGAAGCUGAUGACUGAAGCCCUGGUGAACGGCGGCCGUAACGAUAACGGUCCUAAGGUAGCGAAAUUCCUUGUCGGGUAAGUUCCGACCCGCACGAAAGGCGUAAUGAUUUGGAUACUGUCUCGGAGAGGGGCUCGGUGAAAUAGACUUGUCUGUGAAGAUGCGGACUACCUGCACCUGGACAGAAAGACCCUAUGAAGCUUUACUGUAACUUGAGAUUGAAAUUGGACUUUAUUUGCGCAGUAUAGGUGGGAGACGUUGAGAAUAUUCUUGCGGGAAUAUUGGAGUCAUCAGUGAGAUACCACUCUUGUAAUGUUAGAUUUCUAACUUUGUAUCAUUAUCUGGUCAAAGGACAGUUUCAGGCGGGCAGUUUGACUGGGGCGGUCGCCUCCUAAACGGUAACGGAGGCGCACAAAGGUUUCCUCUGAACGUGUAGAAAUCGUAUCUAGAGUGUAAAGGCAUAAGGAAGCUUGACUGUGAGACCUACAAGUCGGCAGGGACGAAAGUCGGUCUUAGUGAUCUGACGGUGCUGAGUGGAAAGGCCGUCACUCAACGGAUAAGAGUUACUCUAGGAUAACAGGCUGAUCUCCCCCAAGAGUUCACAUCGACGGGGAGGUUUGGCACCUCGAUGUCGGCUCAUCGCAUCCUGGGGCGGUAGUACGUCCCAAGGGUUGGGCUGUUCGCCCAUGAAAGCGGUACGCGAGCUGGGUUCAGAACGUCGUGAGACAGUUCGGUCCAUAUCCGGUGUAGGCGUUAGAAUAUUGAGAGGAGCCUUCUUUAGUACGAGAGGACCGAGAAGGACAUACCUCUGGUGUACCAGUUAUCGUGCCAACGGUAAACGCUGGGUAGCUAUGUAUGGAGUGGAUAACCGCUGAAAGCAUCUAAGUGGGAAGCCCACCUCAAGAUAAGUAUUCUCA